GAAGUUGUGUCCACGCAGGUCCACUCCGCACAGAGUCCCGCCGGAAGGGAAGAAACCCGAGCCCGGGAGCUUCGUUCCGGCGCUGCUGUCUGCGGGUCAAUAUGAGUCUCGUCCAGCAACUUGCGCGCGUUUUCUUGGCUUUGUGGCGGUAUUCUACCCAAUCCCGCGUCUUUUCCGAAGGCGGAAGGGCUCUGAGUGUUCUCCUUUGAGUACCUCACCGUUCAAUCCUGGGGUUCGCUUAGCAGUCAGCUCCUUACUACUUACUGCGUUACGCCCCUUCUCGAGGGGAACCCUGGGGAACCACCUUAGGAAGAUACCAGGGACCGGUCUUUGGUUUACCGUUUAAGGGUCUUGCAGUGUGUCAGACGAGGACAUCCUGUUGUAUUAGUCCUCCCAACAAUUCCCCGAGACGAGUAAGUCAUCCUUGCUUUGCCGAUUCCAUCCCUAGAGUCAAAGGAUUUGCCUUUCUCGGGGUCACACCACAGAAAAACAGCCGAGUCAGGAUCUGUGAGCCCAGCGAUCCCAGGGAAAGGACAGUAGCUUAAGUUAGUCAAGUUACGGUGAAAUAACGUGUCACCGUUCUGGGAGAGUGUUGGGUCAAUUAUUUUUACGAGCCCGAAGCUGUCUAAUAAUUGGAAUGAGAGAAGAUCCUUAUCCAAGCUCCUAGGACACAAAUGGGAUUAGCAAAUGGAGACUGAUGUCUGUUGUGCUUAAAUCAUAAUAAAUCUGCGUGUCGCCUUCCCCUGAAAAUUAAUGUCUCAAGUAAUAGCAGCAGGUAAGACUCGUCAUGCCUGUGGAAGUAUUGAGAGGACUCUAUUCACAGUUUGAUGGACCUGCACGCUGAAUCUGUGUCCAAAGAGUUAACAGACUUUAUUACAUCCACCCCAUGACCUCAUUUUAACUUGAUUACUUCUGUAAAGACCCUGUCUCCAAAUAAGAUCACAUUCCGAUGAUGGAUUGAGGUUUAGGACUUGAGCACAUUUUUGGGGGACACAAUUCAGCCCACAACAGAUGCCAUUCCUCGGAAGUCACAAAUGGUAUGACCAUUUCUUUUUCUGCAGUAAGAUCUUCCAGGAAUUGUACCUCUGCAAGCGUUACAGAUUUUAUUUUACUGACACAAAAUAAUGAUCAGGAGAUGCUUGGAGAAAUCGAACAGAAUUCCUCAAGUGCAAUCCUGUGCCUCACCUGAUAUUAAGGAGCCCUACUAGGGAGAAUCUGGGCGCACAUCAUUAGAAAACACCAGGGUGCAGAUGGAGGUCUUCUCAUCUCUGCCAGUGUUUUCUGCCGGAAGAGCCUGAGAGGGAGGCUGGAGAAUUUAAUUUUUGAACUCUCAGCUCCCACAAUGCACAGCACAAGGGCACCUGAGGAACUGAGAUAACAGGUCAGCCACACUUCUGAGCUUCCUGUGCCAAGACAGGCACUGCUUUCUGUAAUAGCAAUGGGGACCAGCAAGGAUUUAUGUAUUAAUUAGGAUUGACAUUGGUUACAGUCUGCUUAUUCAUCCUCCUCCUCUUUUAUAUCUAGCAUUCAUCUGCAAGGAAUGAAUUCCUGCUACUUUUAAUAGGACAUAUUUCUUCCUGCCAUUUUUUCUCAUCCCUUAAAAAAGAAAAAACUAAUUUAGGAAUAUAAUCCAGGGAAUGGUAACUUCAGAAAAUGGUGUGCUAAUGUAUAGUUUCUUUUCCUUUUCCCUUCUUUCCUGACUUUCUUCCUUUUUCUUUCUUGUACUAGAGUUUGAACCCAAGGAUGCUUUAGCAAUGAGUUAUUUUCCCAGUCCUUUUUUAUAUUUAAUUUUUUAAAAUUUUGAUACAGGGUCUUACUGAAUUGCUGAGGGUUUUGAUAAGUUGCUGAGGCUGGCCUUCAACUUUCAAUCCUCCAACCUUAGCCUCUUGAGUUGCUGAGAUUACAGGCAUGUACCACCAUGCCCAGCUUUAAUGUAUAGUUUUCAUUUAAGUUAUGGAGAUAUGGAAAGAGUUUUGUAUGAGGGGUAAAAGUGAUUACAACUUGUAUAUUUAUUUUCUCUCUUUUUUAAUCUAGCAUUCACUUGGAAUGAAUUAAUUUCAUACAAGAUUAUUUCUUAUUAUUUCCACCAUCUUUAAAAGGUCAGAAGCUCACCAACUCCAGAAUGGGAACCAGGGAAUGUCAUCUCUCAAGUGGAUGCAGCCACAGGAUGAACAGAAUCUGUACUGUACCAAGUACCACUGUUGAAGAGGAGGGGCCACCUCGAGACUCGAGGGCAACUGGCUCAUCUCGUUGACAUCAAGUGGGGCAUGGAAACUUUCAAAGGAAAAAAGAAAGAGGAAUUAAAAAGCAAGACAGAGAAAGAAAACAAAAAGCAAAACAAAGUCUUAAGAGUUAUCAUCCCUGGGGCUGAAUUUUGGCUCAGGUAUUUUAUUAUGAUUCAAAAGCUUAAUGGUUCAAUAUCCUUGAUUUAAUAGCUUAGUAUAUUUAACAAUUAAAAAGUUGUAACUUUUCAUUGUUUUAAAAUAUCACAUAACUGUUAUUCUUGUCCAAUACGCUCUGCCCCUCAUCAAGCCCUCCAUUGUAGGAUACUGAAUUAUGGAAAAACUGUUGUCUGUUAAAUUAAGGAAAAAAUGUUUAAAGAAAACAUUCACAAUGUUUUGAAGUAAUUUUUUUUUUUUUGCUUAAAAUAGUAACUAGUCUAGGGAGAGAUAUUCCUAGAAUCUCUUAGAGCUCAUUUAUUAGGUACUAAGAACUCAUCAGGCUGAUGAAUUUUAUGUCAAAGAAUGGCUGUGGGUGAGGGUCUAGUAGGUUUAGAGUGGUAGAUAAUGAUGUAAACCACUGGAUUCAGGUCAUUUAGCAUGGAGUCAACUCUGGGACUUUCUAGCUGUGUGAAGUUGGAAAAUCAUUUGAUGUGUCCGAGCCCAAGUUUCUAAAUUAUUCAGCAAGGACAAUACUAAUGAUUCAGGCAUAUAGUUGAUACUGAGGAUUAAGAUGCUUGAAGUUCUUGGAAACACGUGGCUGGAACAUAGUGAGGCUCUAAUAAAUAAGGUUAUUGUUAUUAGCAAGUGUCAAACAGCAUUUUUGCUCAAAAACUGAUGUCCAGCAGAAUCAUAACUUAAACUUUCUAGUCUUUUUUCCUUAUUUGAUUUCAUUUUGCUUAUAAGAGAUUAUACACUUAGUGCUUAAACCAUAGAAUUUUCCUUCUUUUGUAAAAUGGAGUAUUGCAUAGUAUUUUUUUUUCCUUUAAAUUUUUUUUUUAAAUUUUUUAUUGUGGGUUGUUCAAAACAUUACAAAUUUCUUGACAUAUCAUAUUCCACACUUUGAUUCAAGUGGGUUAUGAACUCCCACCUUCACCCCAUACACAGAUUGCAGAAUCACAUCAGUUACACAUCCAUUGAUUUACAAAUUGCCAUACUAGUGUCUGUUGUGCUCCGCUGCCUUUCCCAUCCUCCACCCUCCCCCUUCCCCACCUCUCCCCUCCCCUCCCCUCCUCUCUCUCUACCUCCUCCACUGUAUAACCCUGAGGGUCUCCUUCCAUUACCAUGCAAUUUCCCUUCUCUCUCCCUUUCCCUCCCACCUCUCAUCCCUGUUAAAUGUUAAUCUUCUUCUCCUGCUCUUCCUCCCUACUCUGUUCUUAGUUACUCUCUUUAUAUCAAAGAAGACAUUUGGCAUUUGUUUUUUAGGGAUUGGCUAGCUUCACUUAGCAUAAUCUGCUCUAAUGCCAUCCAUUUCCCUGUAAAUUCUAUGAUUUUGUCAUUUUUUAAUGCAGAGUAAUACUCCAUUGUGUAUAAAUGCCACAUUUUUUUUUUAUCCAUUCGUCUAUUGAAGGGCAUCUAGGUUGGUUCCACAGUCUUGCUAUUGUGAACUGUGCUGCUAUGAACAUCGAUGUAGCAGUGUCCCUGUAGCAUGCUCUUUUUAGGUCUUUAGGGAAUAGACCAAGAAGGGGAAUAGCUGGGUCAAAUGGUGGCUCCAUUCCCAGCUUUCCAAGAAAUCUCCAUACUGCUUUCCAAAUUGGCUGCACCAAUCUGCAGUCCCACCAGCAAUGUACAAGUGUACCCUUUUCCCCACAUCCUCGCCAGCACUUGUUGUUGUUUGACUUCCUAAUGGCUGCCAAUCUUACUGGACUGAGAUGGUAUCUUAGGGUGGUUUUGAUUUGCAUUUCUCUGACAGCUAGAGAUGUUGAGCAUUUUUUCAUGUACUUGUUGAUUGAUUGUAUGUCCUCCUCUGAGAAGUGUCUGUUCAGGUCCUUGGCCCAUUUGUUGAUUGGGUUGUUUGUUCUCUUAUUGUCUAAUUUUUUGAGUUCUUUGUAUACUCUGGAUAUUAGGGCUCUAUCUGAAGUGUGAGGAGUAAAGAUUUGUUCCCAGGGUGUAGGCUCCCUAUUUACCUCUCUUAUUGUUUCUUUUGCUGAGAAAAAAACUUUUUAGUUUGAGUAAGUCCCAUUUGUUGAUUCUAGUUAUUAACUUUUGUGCUAUGGGUGUCCUAUUGAGGAAUUUGGAGCCCGACCCCACAGUAUGUAGAUCGUAGCCAACUUUUUCUUCUAUCAGACGGCGUGUCUCUGAUUUGAUAUCAAGCUCCUUGAUCCAUUUUGAGUUAACUUUUGUGCAUGGCGAGAGAAAGGGAUUCAGUUUCAUUUUGUUGCAUAUGGAUUUCCAGUUUUCCCAGCACCAUUUGUUGAAGAUGCUAUCCUUCCUCCAUUGCAUGCUUUUAGCCCCUUUAUCAAAUAUAAGAUAGUUGUAGUUUUGUGGAUUGGUUUCUGUGUCCUCUAUUCUGUACCAUUGGUCCACCCGCCUGUUUUGGUACCAGUACCAUGCUGUUUUUGUUACUAUGGCUCUGUAGUAUAGUUUGAAGUCUGGUAUCGCUAUACCGCCUGAUUUACACUUCCUGCUUAGCAUUGUUUUUGCUAUUCUGGGUCUUUUGUUUUUCCAUAUGAAUUUCAUGAUUGCUUUCUCUAUUUCUACAAGAAAUGCCGUUGGGAUUUUGAUUGGCAUUGCAUUAAACCUAUAGAGAACUUUUGGUAAUAUCGCCAUUUUGAUGAUGUUAGUUCUGCCUAUCCAUGAACAGGGUAUAUUUUUCCAUCUUCUAAGAUCUUCUUCUAUUUCUCUCUUUAGGGUUCUGUAGUUUUCAUUGUAUAAGUCUUUCACCUCUUUUGUUAGGUUGAUUCCCAAGUAUUUUAUUUUUUUUGAAGAUAUUGUGAAUGGAGUGGUUGUCCUCAUUUCCAUUUCAGAGGAUUUGUCGCUGAUAUACAGGAAUGCCUUUGAUUUAUGCGUGUUGAUUUUAUAUCCUGCCACUUUGCUGAAUUCAUUUAUUAGCUCUAAUAGUUUCUUUGUAGAGCCUUUUGGGUCUGCUAGGUAUAGAAUCAUAUCAUCUACAAAUAGUGAUAAUUUAAGUUCUUCUUUUCCUAUUUUUAUGCCUUUAAUUUCUUUCGUCUGUCUAAUUGCUCUGGCCAGUGUUUUGAGAACUAUGUUGAAGAGAAGUGGAGAGAGAGGGCAUCCCUGUCUUGUUCCAGAUUUUAGAGGGAAUGCCUUCAGUUUUUCUCCAUUCAGAAUGAUGCUAGCCUGAGGCUUAGCAUAGAUUGCUUUUACAAUAUUGAGGUAUGUUCCUGUUAUCCCUAGUUUUUCUAGAGUU